rnacentral:misc_RNA from 1 species
GAUGAAGAACGUAGCGAAAUGCGAUAAGUAAUGUGAAUUGCAGAAUUCAGUGAAUCAUCGAAUCUUUGAACGCACAUUGCGCCCCCUGGUAUUCCGGGGGGCAUGCCUGUUCGAGCGUCAUUUCACCACUCAAGCCUCGCUUGGUAUUGGGCAACGCGGUCCGCCGCGUGCCUCAAAUCGACCGGCUGGGUCUUCUGUCCCCUAAGCGUUGUGGAAACUAUUCGCUAAAGGGUGUUCGGGAGGCUACGCCGUAAAACAACCCCAUUGCUAAGGUUGACCUCGGAUCAGGUAGGGAUACCCGCUGAACUUAAGCAUAUCAAUAAGCGGAGGA